rnacentral:lncRNA from 1 species
UUUGUUGGUAUAUUUUUUAGAGCAAAAUCUAUUGCUAUAUAUCUGAAAUAUAACAAUAUUUAAAACACCAUUCCUUAUCAGCUUAAAUAUUUACAGAAUAAUAAUUAUUUCGUAUUAUUUAACAUAGUCAUGAAUCUAACACUACAACAAAAACGAUCUAUAGCGACACUUUUAAAUGUAGGUACAUGUCAAAAAAGUGCUGCUAGCUAAAAUUACCGACACUUUUAAAAAGUGUUGCUAUAUGUGGGGUCGCUAGGUAUAUAGUGACAGUUAAAGAGUGUCGCUAUAACCUAAAAGAGUGCUACUAAUUUACCAACACUUAUUUAAGCAUUUAGCAGCCGCCGAAACUCUAUCUCGUUAGCUGCGGUGGCGGAGGAGGACAACAGGAAAGGCUCUUCGUCUAGAAUUUCAGUGGAUUGAGUGAAGAGAGAAGAAAAGAUGGUAAUUGAUUUUUCUUUCUUUUUUUCUUUUCUGUUUGUAAUCGGGUCAAAUGGACUGGGUGUGGUGGGUUGAGUAGAGUAAUCUUUUAUUUUUUGUUGGAUUGGGCUUUAUAUUUAGGCAUAAGUAGAUGUUUUUUUAAGUUUUAGCAUAAAUAAGACAUUUACUCAAAAGUGUCCCAAACAUGUGUCCCUAUAACCUAAUUCUGUUGUAGUGUAACGAAAAGCCUCGAGCCCAAAUCCUAGUAUUAUUAAUUUCUCUCAUUUAAUUCAAAUCCACGUCAGGGCUUAGAGAAAAGUUUCGAGUCCAUACGUGAGUGGGAGUGCUAAAUAUAAAAGGAAAAACUUCAAAUUCCACCCAUGUGGUUUCACACUUUCUCAUUUUAGUACCUAUGGUUUAAAGUGUAUCAAUUUAGUGUCUUGUGGUUUUAUUUUUAUUUUUUUAUUAUUAAUUCUACUAAUUUUUUUUAUUAAAUCAUUGACAAAAUUAAAAAUAAAGGGUACUAAAGUGAAUAUUCGAUAAACCUACAUGUGGUAUCUAAAAUUUUUUGUUUAUAAUUUAACGAAAUAUUAACGGAGAAGCUGACGAAAAGAUAAAAAUGAAACCAUAUAUAGGACACUAACUUGAUACACUUUAAACCACAUGGUACUAAAGUGAGAAAGUGCGAAACAACAGGGGUGUUUUUUAAAGUUUAUCCAAUAUAAAAUAUUUAAAAGACCAUUUCUCUUUUAAGCUUUUAGAGAAUAAUAGUUAUUUCGUAUUAUUUAACAUAUUCUAAAGAUAAAAUAAAGAACAGCUAGCGAGAUUGCAAACUUAGCAAUAGGAUAUUAAUGUACAAAAUGAAAACUUGAUCUGUACAUAGGGGUGUCAACAAGCCGAACACGAGCUGGCUCGUUAAAGUAUCGAGCUGAAAAAUUCAGCUUGUCUUUAACUCGUUUAUUUCUCAUUAAUAAACGAGCCGAACACGAGCUGACAAACGAAUAAUACGUUAAAUGGAUUAGAUUGGAUAUAUAUAUAAAAUAAAUUUACAAAAUCUUACCCAUUAGACUUUGAUCUAAUGGUUGAAAUUUUACAUAUAAAUGAAUUUUUUUAUAAUUAAGCUUGGUUUUAUAUUUUUUUGCUAAAAAUCAAAUUAUAUAUAUAUAAUUAUUUAUAUAUAAAUAUAUAUAAAUAUAAAUUAUAAACAUUUGAAAUAUAUGUAUUCGAACUGUUAUUAAGCCGAACAUGAGCGAGCUGACCCCAGCUUGUGUUUGGCUCAUUUAUUAAACAAGCUGAAAGAUCAACUCGUAAUCAACUUGUUUACUAAACGAAUGAUUCGAUCUCGAGCUCAUUUAGAGCCGAACACAAGCUGGCUCGAAAACAGCAAGCUGAAUUGCCAUCCCUAUCUGUACAUAAUAUGGAACUCUCCAACUAAAAGCUUA